GCUCUGGGAUAGCUCAGUUGGUAGAGCAUGAGACUCUUAAUCUCAGGGUUGUUGGUUUGAGUUUCACCUUGGGCA